rnacentral:tRNA from 1 species
GCGCCCAUGGCUCAGUUGGAUAGAGCGACGGUUUGCGGAACCGUAGGUCGGAGGUUCGAGUCCUCCUGGGCGCGCCA